AAAGAUUUUUAACUUAGUUUGUAAAAUAAAUUAUUGGAUUUAUUAUGUAGUUUAUUAACUACAUACUUUUAUAAAUUAUAUUGUAAGCUUUUGAAGGUCUAUUAGAAUUUGAUUUUUGUUUUUUUUUUUUUUACUGUGUUACUUAUGUAUAAUAAAUAAUUUUACUUUAAUUUACUUAUUUUUAAGCAUUUAUUAUGUUAAACAUACAUUUAAGAACACAUAAAUUAUUUUAAUAAGGAAAAAUUAACAUAUUAUGUCUUAAUAGACUUUUUAAUUUUAACAAAUAAUCAUUUAAUAUUAUGAAUGAAUUGUUUCCUUAUGAUAUACAUAGUAAUUAAAUAUUCAAAUGUAAUUUAACCUUUGUUAAAGGCACCUAGUUGUCUAGUUUAUUUAUCAAACAAUUAACAAUUUAAAAUAGGCAUGACAACUUGUUCAGGUAUUUGAAUUUUUAUUUUAGUUAUUUUUUUUAUGACUAGAAAUAAAUAAAUAAUUUAUUAUAAUAUAUUAGGCAGUGGUAUAAAGAUAUUAAAUAUAUACAUAUAUAGUAUUUACCUAUUACCUAUAUAAUAUUUUAAUCUAUUGACUAUUUUUAUUUUAUUAUUAGGUAUGUAUAACUGAUAAUUAUUUUAGUUACCUAUGUACAAUGUAUAUGCAUAACAAUUAAUAAUUGAAGGUCACCUAAUUUGCAUUGAUUGUUUCAGUUUAAUUAAUGAGAAACUCAAAUAUUGUCAAACAAAAAAAGUUACCUAUUUUUAAAAAAUUAACUAAUUUUCUUUUUUAACAAUAAUUUAAAAACCAGUAAUGUAUCUCAUGCUCUUAAACAUAUUUUCAUCUUAUUAUUAAUAUUUCUUCUAUUGUUAUUUUUUUCUCUAAUUUCAACUAAAAACGCAACAAUUAUGUUUAUAUAAUUUGGCUAGGUAUGUUGCCCAUUAGUUAGACUGAGGCAACAGCUAUAGGUGUUCUGGCCUCUUAAAAAAUUAAGUUUAAUGUUUUAUUUUAUAUUAUUUAAUUUGUAUAUUGUUAAUUAAUAGUAUAUUAUUAUAAAAUACUUACCUUAUCUAUGUAAAACUAAUAGUUACCAUUUUGAAGAAACAUAUUAUAUCCAUUACCUACAUAGAUUUAAAAUUGACCUUAUAUACCAAAG